rnacentral:tRNA from 1 species
GGAGCAUUCGUCUAGCGGUUAGGACGCCGCCCUCUCACGGCGGUAACACGGGUUCGAGUCCCGUAUGCUCUA